rnacentral:lncRNA from 1 species
CGGCAAGUGAGCGCCCAGGGACUCUCGGCCAGAGAGGCUGUGAGGGUGGCUUUGUGAGGAUGGCUUUGUGUGGCUGCACAUUGCCCUUGGCCAAGCCCCGCUGCCAGGAGAGGCAGCUCGGCUGCCAAACCUCCUGAACCCAAGUUACCUGAGCAAGCAGCCCUAUCCCCUCGCCUGCUUCUCACUGCCUCGCCUGCCUUGGGCCUGCCCGACCCAGGGGGUCACAUGCCUUGUUCCCCAUCAGUGGAGACCAGGGACAAGAAGACAGUUCUGUGGGAAGAGCCAGGAGGACCAUUUGGGAAAAUACAGGUUCCAGGUGUGUCUCCAGACCUUGAGAGUUGGUGUCUCCUGGGAAGAGGCCCUGAUGAGAUCUGGGGAGAUUCGGAUCUGAUGAGAUUCAGGAAGCCCUGGCCUCUCCGUACUUGAGGAGACGGGACACACAGGACAAGCUGCAGGCUGGUGAGCAGGUUCACCUUCUAUUUUGAAGACCCGCUUCUUCCUCAGGUACCUGAUCUUGAAAACGACCUCCCCUUUCAGGUCUUGCUUCCCCUCAACCCAGACACCGACUCGCCCAAGGGUCUUCCAGCUGGCUGAGUUGGAACCUGCAUUUUUUAACCACAAGGAAAAGAAGCCCAGAGCUACCAAGAAUAAUAUUUUAUUGACUUGGAAUGAGUUUUGGAAUCUGUAUUUUUAACAAGCUGCCCAGUGAAAACCAUUUCCUCCUCGUCGUGGCGCAGGUCCAGAGGCUGCGCCCAUCUCUCCCACGUCAACAGUCCUGUGUCCUUGGCGAAGGACUGUUCUCUCAUUCAGUGCCUUUCCUCUCUUCCUGGGCCAAAUCCCUGCUUUGCGUCUCCCUGCAGCUCAUAAAAAGCUGAAUUACCUGAGGCAGGGAAAGCCCCACCCACUGUCAUUCUCAGGGAGGAGUGGAGUCUGCAGAGGCCGCAAUGCACAGCUUCCCUAUCCCCCUCCACCCGUGUUUUCCCAGAGCAGCUCUGUUCCAGGCCCGGGGGUGUCCCUGGGCCGAGAUGGAAUCCAGCCCUGACCACCUCCCAAAGCCAACAGCCCUGAGUGAGCGUGCAGAGAAGCAAGAGCUGUUCCUGAUGCAGAGCAAAGACAUCUCCCAGUCAAGGGGGAUGAACUGAUUUGGGACAAAAGGCAGUUGUUGGCUGAGGAAGGCAGGAUCUGGGGGAGCCCUGUGCUGAGUGGAGGUGGGUGGGUGUAUUUCCUUGGCUCACAGAGGCCUCUUGUCUGGUGGGAUCAGCUCCUCCAGCCAGUUGCCACCUGGUCCAGCUUUGGGAGAUGUGGAGAAUGACUUUCGCAGUGAUUUCCACUGGGCCAUGGCAUUGAAACAGCUGCAGGAGGGGACACAGCUGGUGCCACCCCUACUCCGUCCAUUAGAGCUGCUGUGAAGGAAUGCCACCCUCCCCAUGGGGAGUGAGGGGGCCCUACUUGCUGUGGUUGGUUCCAGGGACCAUGGGAAGAGGCAAACCCCUAUUUUCAAGGGCACAAGUUGGCUUUUAUUAAAAUAAAAUUUCAUCAUCACUUAUUCCAGUGGCUCCCAAACUUGGCUAAACAUCAGGAUCACCCAGGAUGUUUGUUAAAAAAUAAAGAUUAUGGCCGGGUGCAGUGGCUCACGCCUGUAAUCCUAGCACUUUGGGAGGCCCAGGCGGGCAGAUCACUUGAGGUCAAGAAUUCGAGACCAGCCUGGCCAACAUGGGGAAAUGCUGUCUCUACUAAAAAUACAAAAAUUAGCUGGGUGUGGUGGUGCAUACCUGUAACCCCAGCUACUCGGAGGCAGAGGCAGGAGAAUUGCUUGAACUUGGGAGGCAAAGGUGGCAGUGAGUCGAGAUAGCGCCACUGCACUGCACUCCAGCCUGGGUGACAGUGCGAGACUCUUGUCUCAAAAAAAAAAAAAAAAAGAUUAAUAAAAAUAAAGAGUUUUAGAACUCAUCCUAGACGGAAUCAAUCAGAAUCUCUUUGGGUAGGCUUGGGCUGGAAUCAGUGCGAAAUCUGACUAAUCAGAUUGCUUUCCUGAUUCCAGACGGUUGAGCCCAUAGAACAGGAGUGAGAAGAUGGAAGGGCGAGGGGGCUGGGAUGAUGAAAACUUGCGCCUGCAGCCACCAUUCAUUACAGAGCGCCGGGGGCCAGCUGCAGAACUGUAGACUCCUCAUACAUCAUCGUGUUGAGUCUUCAAAACAAACCUAUGAGGCUGGAGUGCAGCAGCGCGAUCUCGGCUCACUGCAACUUCCACCUCCUGGUUUCAAGCAAUUCUCCCGCCUCAGCCUCCCGAGUAGCUGGGAUUACAAGCACCCGCCACCAUGCCCGGCUAAUUUUUAUAUUUUUAGCAGAGGCGGGAUUUCUCCAUGUAGCCCAGGCCGGUCUCGAACUCCUGACCUCAAGUGAUCCACCCACCUCAGCCUCCCAAAGUGCUGGGAUUACAGGUGUGAGCCACCAUGCCCCGCCAGCCAUCAGAGUUUUAUAGCAAGAAUUUUUACCUUUGUCCUUAGUGCAAUGGGAAAUCCUUGAAACGCUAUUAUUGCCUUCCUCUGCAAGGAAAGGUUAUUUUGGUGAGCAGUGGAUAGAGGAAAUGCAGAGGGAGCCACUAAAGGGUUCUGGUGAGAUCUGGAGCCCUGCUGGGAUAAUCUGACCAGAGAAAGCAAAGAUUCCAGAGAGCUAGGCACACUUGCCCUACCUCCAGCUGCACACAGCUGGUUCCAGCUUUGUCCUGACCUUCAGUCUGGCAUACAGGGUAGACCCACUGGUACCUGGUACCUCACUCUGGGGGUGAGGUGGCCACCCACCUAGGUCUGGGUCCUGUAGCAGUUUGGCAGCAACAUCUGGGUGAUAAGAGAAGGCGAUUUGACCUACUCCCAGGGACAAGAAGCUUUGACUCUUCAAGAUCAUAAAGUCUUCCCUCCUGGCCUUGGGUCCUCCUGUUGCGGGAGAGGUGAGGUGGGGUGAGGGUCCUCCGGGAGGGCAGGCUUGGCAGAGCCCAGCACCAUCUCAGCAGACACUGCUCUUCUCCUACUCUCAGCACCUCCAAGGCAGUGAGUGGCUUUCUCUUGUCUAGAGGACAAAAUCCGUUCCUCACCUGGACACAAUGAACCUGUCUGUGGGAUUUAGGGAGCAUCAAGGAGGGAAUUUAGUUUCCGCAGACUUCAAGGAAGACUUUCUGGAGGAGGUGAUGCCUGAGAGCUAUCCAGGAGAGAAGAGUGAAAAAAUGUUAAGCAGUGGAAAAACAUGAACCAAACUGUGGCUGCAUCUUCCCAUAGGGCAACAGGGACUUAGCGCGUGCAAUCAAGGAUCUCCAGAUGGGGAUAACCCAGGUGUGCCCAACCUAAUCUCAGUGUCCUUGGAAGAGGGAUGCAGAAGGAGUCAGAAUCAGAGAAGAAGGUGACACGAUGAAGGAAUCCGAAAUUAGAGUGAUGCUCUUUGAAGAUGGAGGAAGGGACCACAAGCUGAGAAAUAGAGGUGGCCACUAGACACUGAAAAAGGCAAGGAAGUGGAUUCUCCCCUGGAGCCUCCAGAAGGAACCAGCUCUGCCGACACCUUGACAUUAGCCCAUUGAGACUGAUUUAAGGGCUGCUGGCCUCCAGAAUUGUAAGAGAAUAAACGUGUGUUGUUUAAGGCCCUUGGUUAGUAGCGAUUUGCUACAGCAGCUGCAGAAACCUAAUAAGUAUAGGUUCCACCUAGAGACGCAGAACUAGCCAGCGGCCGAUCCUGCUCCGGGACCCUGCAGGCCCCAGCUCUAUGGAAUCCUGUCGCACACGGGAUGGACGUGGGCUAGAGGCGGAGGAAGGGGAGGAAGUGAAGAUCUUCAGACUAAGAUGGAUGAAGCUGAAUUCAGAUCUCAGCUCCAAGGUGAAUGAGCAAACAGCACAGAAAAAGAAACAGCAGUAUAUGUGGAAGAAAGCAAGAAAAAUCAACUGGCCUGGAACCUAAGACUUGUCCAAAGAUGUCACAGAGAGUAAAAUGAGAAAAAUCCAGUAGCCCGUGCCCAGAGCAGUUCCUCGUACCCAGCAGAAGGCUAACAAGCCCUGAGAUGAAUGAUGCUCUUCCCAAGGAAGGCAGAGGAGGCGACAGUCCAUUUGCGUUCUCUCCUCUGCAAGUACAGGAUCUCGUUUGAUUCUCAAAACCACCCUAGAGGAGACAGGAGGCACCUGAGGCCCAGAGACGUGAAGCCACCUGUCCAAGGCCAUACAGCAGAUAACUUAUUCUGGAGGAAGACACCUGCCAUGCCGUGAGGACAGUCAAGCAGUUCUGUGGAGAGAUCCAUGUGGUGAGAAACAGGGGCCUCCUGUCAACAGGAAGAACAACCUGGCAGGCCUGUCUUGGAUUCAGAGCCUCCAGCCCCAGUCGAGCCUUCAGAUAACUGCACCCUUGGCUGUCAUCUCAACUGCAAUCUCACGACAGACCCUGAGCUGGAACUACUCUGUUUACCAAUGCCUGGCCCACAGAAAGACUAUGAGAUAAAACAAGUAUAUUGUUUUUAGAAGAUAUGUUUUGGAGUAAUUUAUUAUGCUACAAUAGAUAAUACAGAAUUUGGUGAUUUUAUGAUUCUCAACUCCUGGCCAAAGCAAAGCACACAACAAGUCUCAAAGAAAAGUCUCACAAGUGGAAUUGAAAGUACAAAGCUGGCCAGACAAGCUUGUGCAGACAUGUAUGUGGUGGAGUUGAAAAUCACACACUACGACUCACACAAAUGAGAAACCCGAGGCUCAGAGAGGCCCUGUAAUUUGCUCAAGAACAAGAAACCACUACAUCUGAGAUCUUAUCCUUCUGACCCCUCGAUCCGGGUCUUUGCACAGGCAUGGCACCACUCUUGAGUACCCAAGUUAAAAUUCC